GAGCCUGAACCAGCUGCUUUGAAGAGAUCUUGGGACUGAAGGACUGAGCUGAGGCAUUUCUAAGGCAGCUGAUAACAGAGGAAAGAGCAGAUCAUGGCACCAAAUCCUGCCCCGGAGCUGAGCAGGGCCCAAGGAGUGGCCCCGUGUGGAGGAGCAGAUGGAGCUCUGCAAACUCAUGCAGGUGGUAAAAUACUGACUGCCAUGAACUUCAUCAGGAAAAAAAAAGUAUAAAAGAGGAAAAAGCAGUGGUUUGGAAGCAGCUGGAUGGCAAACUGCAGGCUGGGAAUGUGUCUGCCAAAACCACCACAAGGAGAGUGGGGCAUAAAGGCAUUUGUGGAGCAUUCUGUUUGCUAAUUGCUCAUGGAAUUUCAGGUUGAAAGAGAAGAAGGGAAUCUACCAGGUGGCUGCAUCUUGAAAAACAGGUACAGAGAAAGUGGCAGGAACACGGAACGUCCUCUGAUCCCUGCUCUGGUACAACUAAAGCUUGAAUAAAGCCAUUUCCAGCUGGAUUUCCCCCAAGAUGUUAAUAUUGUGCUGGGUUUAAUGCUGACUGAAGCAAGGUAGCAAGCAGUUAUUGCAGGCCUGACAUGCCUGUUCUGCCAGGGAACAGCGUGAGCUUUCAACUCAGAAAACAAGGUGAACUUUGUUGGGUCAUCAAUCUGCUUUUGCCUGCCUUGGCCAGGCCUUGUCCUCCUGUCCCAUUUUGCAGCAGUCCUGUCUGUGGGAGAAGUACAACUGUGGGACGCCUGAUGAAAAGAGAUGGUUGAACAACUGGCCUUCAGCUCUGUCACCUUUUCUUGCUGCUGGCAUAAACAAAACACACAAAAAAACCCCACCCAAAAACCACAAAAACAAACGAACAAACAAAACCACCAAAAAAAGACAAAAAAAAUCCAAUGCAAAGAUAGUUUAUGUACAGCUCAGGAAGCUCACAGCAAUGAGUGUGUCUGUGAUUUAAUAACACAUCUACCCAAAAUGACACUUCUUCUAAUACUCACUGAGAAAAAGAAGGCAGAGCAGCACACAAGGCACUGCUAUUGCAGCAACAAGCAGCCAAACUAGCAGGUAUUUAUUUUUCAAUGUACACAAUUACUGGGGGAGAAUAAAAAUUAUUCUUUGACACUCUGACAGAGCCGUAAAAAGCUCUGUGCUUCCCCUACUCCCAUGGUCCUGACAAGAAACACCUCACCAAUUCUAAUAAAUAGAGAAUAGAAAUAAAUACUUUAACUACACAGCAUCAGGUUUCAAAUGGCUUCCUGAAUCAGAAAGUGCUGCUAGUCCAUCUUCCUUAUUUCCACACUCAGUAAUGGUGGCUCUCCAAAAGUCAAAGUGAGAUGGAUACUACAAGGAUCACAGACACUACACUGGGAAACCAAGUAUCAGUGGGGUACGUCCAGAUUUAUGGUAGGUGAUGGCAGUAAAGUGAAAGUAAAACUGUUUGCACAGUCUGUAUUGUUGGCCAUUACUGUGUAUUUGCCCUUUUUUCUUGCUUAGCUGCAGCUGGAAGAAUGGAAAAUUGUACCUUCUAUACAGUAUUAGAAAACACUUUCUGAUCAUAAGGUCAAUCAGAUUGGUUUAGCUGCUUGAGGUAUUUAUGGCACCAUCACUCAGUGUCUUUAAGGAAAGGUUAGAUACAUUUAUGGGAAAGGUAUUUUGCAGAAGCUUUCCUGCUUCAUAGAGGUCUUGGACAAAAUGACCCAGGAGGCCCCUUCCAAGUCUAUCAAGUGUGGUUCCCUGAUUGAUGCUGUUUUCCCCCAAAGUCUUUUCAAAACACAAAGCACUGUUAUAAAAUUUAAUAUGAUACACUAUAUAACUUUAACACAAUGCCAUUUUCUUAAAGGAAAUGGUUAGCUGGUAGCACAGGAGCCUCGUGCAAGAGGAAAAAAUGUAGAAAAAAAGAAAUUGCAGUGCAGUUUCUCUGCUGAGGGAUAUCGACUAUAACAUUUACUCUGUGUCUGAGCAUGGACUCUUAGCUGUGCAGGGGGACACCAAGCCAGGAAAGUAUAUAAGGAACCCAGGCUGUGGAAUUUAUUUCUCCAGAAAAGCCCGACAAGGCCUGAGGUAAUUUUCUAUGCUGUGCAAUAAUCAUUCCCUCAAUGCUGGGAAGCAAAUGGACACCCAGCUCUCCUUGUAAAUCACUGCCUGGUGCUGUAUCAGCUGGGCCUGGGGCAGAGCUGCCUGGGGACCAGGAGAGUCCCAGCCCUCCUGCACAGGCACAGGCACAGGGCCGGAGCUCAGGUGUGUCCUGCACCACCUGCACCAGCGAGAAGAGCCCGUCUGUAACUCACGGCUCUGGCCUGUCCUGCUGCCAUCCCAGCUGCACCAUGGAGCAGGCGGAGCAAAUCCCUGAAAAUGGCGAGCGCCAAAAGCUGCACUUUGGAAAAAGGGCAGCACCACCCCUGGUAAUGUGUUUGUCUGAUGACUAAAGAAUGAGCAAGAGAGCUUGGGCCAUAUUUCUCUUGUCUGAAUACAAGAUUGAUUGUCAGGCAGAAUCCUCUCCAGGUCUUCUGUGUUUCCACCAAACCAUUCAGUAAAAUGAUAAUAUUCUUCUCCCUACUAUACUUACUUGUUUUGUUGUGUUUUAAUUUGCUGAAUGUUUCCUAUAUUGACUUUUAUUUUUCCUUUGAAACAGUUAACAUUUAAAAAUUAAAGUCAUGUAAUUAUUUAAAAAAAACAACCAACAAGAAAAACCCAACCAGAUCCUCUGGACCAUCUGGUUGAAAUGCUCUGGGUCAGCCUCCACUAAUCUCUAGUCAGUUUUAAUUUUAGAUUUUCAUAGGAAAAAAAAGAAGGAAGAAACCCCAGAAUUUUAUUGAAUUGGAGUUUACUCUCAAAAUCAUUUUAUACUAACCUUUUUAUUUUCACUCCAACUAAUUUAGUUAAAGGCCAAACUCUUCUUCCAAAAAUCAGCUCCCAGCCCCCAUCUUCUUGGGAUAGCCCUAACAGGAAAUAACAACAUCUAUAUACAGACACUCUGAAGCCUUUUGAAGUCUCACAAAUGUGAGCUGUUCCCUUUUGCAGAGCAGGCUGGGAUUAACUCUUUUAUUAACCUUAUAACCUCAUCCAUGAAAAAAAAUAAUAGCCAAUCCCUUUUAUUUUGUUUCUUUUAAAAUCUGGAUGCAUGCUGCCUUCUCUACCCAAACAUUUGUGAGCUCACCCUACAGAGAGGAGCAAAAAAAGCCCAUGGAAAGCCCCCUCUCCCUGUGGAGCUCCCCAAAGCCCCUCUUGCCCCUCCCAUUAUGUUGCACUCAGUGUCAAAGUUUGUGUUUUCACUGGAAGAUAUUUUUGCUUUACAGGAGGCUUGUGUCUCUGUAUUGGUGGGAGCAAAUAACAACCUUUUGGUCCUUUUCAACACAUUACAUCAAUGCAUUUUCCUGAUUCCCAUGACAAAAAAGGAUCUUUUAGCAGAAUGAAAAAUCUGACCUGGGUGUAAUCCUGACAGCGCUCCAAUUGCUCAUCCUUAGCUUCAUCCCUGCACUGCAGUGCAGAAUAAGAGGCUCACACUGGAAUAGCUCUUCUCACCAGAGUCAAAAUGGUAAAAAUUUGCUCACAGAGUGACACGAGCAGGAAUUUCAAAGGAAAAUUUAUCUCCUGCUCUUUGUCUUACAAUAUGGUGCACUGUGGUGGCUGGAAGAUUUAACUUCCAAGCAUCCCAUCUAUAUAAAUCCUACUGGAAAACAAUUUUUUAGGGUGCUUAGCUCAGCAGCUGGAAUCUGCCAGGGAAUGAUUGCCAAGAUAAGGAUGGAGAAAAACUUUUCUGUAGCCUUCAGGUGUUGGUCGAGGGUCAGGAUUAGGGAAUAGCUCUCAGCUUUGGCUCUCAGAGCUCCGUGUGUUGCACGAGGUCACGGCUCACUGGUGUAAGGACCAGGGGUUUGGGCCAGUCCUGCCUCUGCCCUGCUCAGCUCGGCCCAUUAACUCCUCUGGUGAUACAGCCCCUCUUGGGUUUUCUGCUUUUCAAAGAUUUACACUUGGUUUAAAUCUCAAUCAAAAGCUCCACUUGAGAUUUUGGGAGGCCAAGACACUUAAAAAUCUCCAAUGGGAAGGGCAAGUGAGGAAGGCAGAAUAUCUCUCCCUUGCAAAGGCAUUCAAAUACCACUUGGAUGAGGAGUUUCCAUCUACUUUGCUGGAUAAACAGACAUCACAGUUCUAAUGUGCAGGGGUGCCCUUCACACCAACAGGCAGAGAAAAGAUGCAAUGGGAAGAGUAAGAGGCACCAGAAUAAAAAAAGGCAGGAUCCAACUGAAAUUUUACCUUUGAUCUUUGAAAAUGGGAAAACCCAUUCGGGAUCAGGAAUUUCCAGACUGGGCUGUAUGCACCAUUAAUUGUUUUCCAUGAAGCAGAGCUGGUCUGCUAUUGUUGCAUCCUCCAAAAACAGCUGUUACUAUGAGCUCUAUGGGAUUCAGGAACUCCACUUCCCAGUUUUCACUUAGUACUUCAGUGAUCAUAUAUAAAUAAUAGUAAUGAUAAUUAUAACAAUACCUGGCUUGCCAUUAUGUUGUACUCAGUCUUUGUGAUGCUCUCUCAUAAUAAAAUCUGUGUAUUAAACACUUUAACUGAAACUCUUAAUAAAACAGUGAUAUUUUUACUUGUGCUGUUAUAUUCACAUAAUGACCACAAAGCACUUUACAGAAUCAAAUGGAAGUCGCCAGUCUGAUCCUUCUAUAGAGCAUUUUGUGCAUCUCAGCAGUGCGUAACAAAGCUGCUGUAUAGACAAGUAACUGUCAAACAUACCACAUUUUGGGGUUUGUCCUGGCUGAGCAGCAUCCAAAAGCCUGGGGUUUGUCCUUCAGAUUGGUGUGAAAGUCUGUAAAGCCACCACAAAUUACACAACAAGAGGAACUGGACGGUCUCACCAACUACACAAGAACAAGCUGUGAUGUCUCAUUAUCAAGGUCCCUGGGUCAGAAAGAAGAAAAAAAGGUUAUAAUUUUCCUGGUUUAGGAAAAAAGCCAUGGAAGUCUUGGAGCUGAGUACUGAGCAGCCUCCAUGGGGUCACUGCAAGGGGCCAAGGCAAAUGCUGGCCCUGCAAAUGCUCGUGGUAAAUGGUGCCUUCCAAGGUUUGAGAGGGUCUCCAGCUUUGGGCCUUGUACCAGGUACUUCUGGAGCUGUGAGACAGUGACAGGCUUUGUUCCCUCGUGUAUAAUUGAUAAAUUACCAUUGUGAGUACUAAACAAUACAACUGAGCACAGAAUGGAAACACGCUAAUGCUUUAUCCAGCUCCAGCAAUUCUGCUCGUGUGCUCACACUGUUCUUAAAUGUGCUAGGUAUUUGUUUGAUGAAACAAUAAGUUUUAGAAAAGAGAAAAAUAAGAACUUCAAAGAUAAUAAAAACCUUGACUACAUACUUUACCACAGGAAGCUGUGAAUAAGCUUCAGUACUCUUUAUUUUUAACAUUCCAGAUAUGUAAUUUAGCACAGGUCUAAUGACAGUCUCGAACAUACUGCUUUAAUCGAAAUUUUUCAAGCUCUGUUCUGUGACAAGGGCUCACAAGAUACCAGCAGGGUUGUCCAUUUCCCCACUUCUGUAGGGAAAAGAAAAGGGAAGGGAGGGGGACACUCUUGAACUUAUGUUGCUAUUGAUGUGUAAUACACAAUAAAAAAACAGUUAAAUUUCAAUUACCCACAGGUAAUUAUAAUUUUAUUGUUUGACUGUACUAUGGGGAAUUUUGUAAUUCCCAAGACUAAUAAUUUUCUAUAAUUUUACAGGUUGUCAAAUAAACUAUUAAAGAUUAUCUUUGAAAAG
ensembl:lncRNA